rnacentral:rRNA from 1 species
UUCAAUUAUUUAUAGCCUCUGGCUAUAGGAAAUUGUUAGUGGCAGACGGGUGAGUAAUGCGUAGGAAUCUACCUAGUAGUACGGAAUAGCCAUUAGAAAUGGUGGGUAAUACUGUAUAAUCCCCGAGGGGGAAAGAUUUAUCGCUAUUAGAUGAGCCUACGUUAGAUUAGCUAGUUGGUGAGGUAAUGGCUUACCAAGGCUAUGAUCUAUAGCUGGUCUGAGAGGACGAUCAGCCACACUGGAACUGAGAUACGGUCCAGACUCCUACGGGAGGCAGCAGUGGGGAAUAUUGGACAAUGGGCGAAAGCCUGAUCCAGCUAUGCCGCGUGAGUGAAGAAGGCCUUCGGGUUGUAAAACUCUUUCAAUAGGGAAGAUAAUGACGGUA